UGAAGACUGAAGUUGUUCUUAUUCCUGCCAGGACAGGUAGAAUUUCCACAUCAACAAAAUCGAAGCUGCUCAGGAGGAACAACUGCUGUUUGCUCUCCAUAAACUGCUGGUGUUCAGUCUGCAUGCACAGUUCUGUCAGAGGACUUGAAUGGGACUGCAAGGUGAGAGGAAGCAGCAGAGCUGGGAACAGCACACAGAUGUCCAGAGUCAACUCAAGGAACUCCAGACAAACACAGCAAGACAACCACCAGCACAGUGACACAGUCCAGUCUGUGAGAGGUCCUGCAGAUGCCUCUGACAUUCCUGCUGGCCGAGAUGGGCAGCUCUGCUGGGAGACCCCUCCCUCCUAUUGCUGGUCAGGACAGGGACAUAAUUGAAGGCCCUAGAAGACUGACUGAGUGGAGAGCAAAGGCAGGACUGACUGACAGGACUUCUCCUGGUGAUGCAAUUGAGGGUGAAUGUGGAUGAACAUGACAUACCCCUUGCAGAUGGAGUGAAUGUGUUCUCCUUGCUUCUCUGCCUGCCCUUCAGUACCAAAUGGGAGAUGAAAUGUUUUCCUGUUCAGUGUAUACAGAAGAGUUUGGAGUUGAGCUGUUCUCUCCCCAACUGUAAAACUACAGUGAAAUCCAGAGUCUUUCUUUGUGUUCCAUUGCCUGCUUUGAGGAAAACAGUGGUCAUGAGAUCAGCCUCAGGGAACAGGGAGUUCAACUGUGCAACACAUGAGGCCAGGAGUGAAAGAGGGAGCAUGGAAAGUCAAAUGGAGCAUUGGCCUGCUGCCCCUCAGGUAACCUCGCAAGCCUGA
rnacentral:lncRNA from 14 species